ensembl:lncRNA
CAGCUAUAAAAAGGCCAAAGGGCAAUUGUGCACGUCCCGGGGCAGCGCGGGGUAAAUAUAUCAUCGUGUGCCGCCAUGCCUUUGAGGGUAACUGCACCAUCAUGCAAAAAUAGGUCCCUACAAUACCCAACAUAUAUCACAUUUCUAGAUGCACUCCAUGAUGCAGCUGUAAAGGACCGACCAGAGCAGCCCAGGCAAUGGAACAGGCCUGCGGAGACAUUGAGCUUCACAGCAGCGCUACAGCUGGAUCUCCCGCUGUAUUUUAAGACUGAAGAGCGCCACAACGAUGACCACUUCCUGCUAGGCCUGGGGAGUGAUUAGAGAACCGAGAGUGGGAAGAGGAAGUGGUGUUGUUAAUGGGUGUCACGAUGCCUCGUCUCUCACAAGGGCUGAGCUUGUCAGCCGGGUUCUAGUGCUCUGCGUGAUCGUCCCGUCGCCGAGUCGGCACCAUGAAGAGCUCCUCGACCCUCCUCCUCCUCACCCUGCUCUCUCUGUUGGCGGGCGUCCCCGCCGCUGACCCAUCCAGUGAGAGCCCGGACCCCUCCCCCUCGAACUCCUCCACCCUUGGCGGCUCCGUCCUGAACACCUCCGCCCCGGACCCCUCCCCCUCAGACCUGACGACCCAGGGAGACCCUUCCGCCUCGAACCAAACCUCAGACGGCCCCGGCUCCUCCCCGACACCGGAGUACAACGCCACCGACGGCCCGACCCGGCCCCCCAGCUCGGUGCUCCCCGCUCAUACCUCCACCACCGCCAAGCCCACCACCGCCACCACGGAGCGCUGCAUGUUCCCCCGGACGCAGGGGCGCGUGGUGCUGAUGGUGGCGGGCGCGCUGACGGUGGCGUGCGUGGGCCUGCUGGUCACCACCGCCCUGCUGACCUGGAAGCUCUGCCAGCGGCGGCGGGAGGCGGAGCCAGACAGCGACCUCAUCAGCAACUCUGAGUUCUGGAUGGGCAGCGCGCGGCGCAACAAGGCCAAGCCACCCCCCGCCAACGACACCUGCCUGCUGCUCGGACACCUGGAGACGAAGGGGGGGCAGCGGGGGGCCGAGGGGGGCGACGGAGGGGAGGCAGGCGAGGAGCAGGAGGGGAAGGGGGGAGAGGGGGAGGUGGACGCGGAGGCGAACGGGAUGGCCGGCGUCCUGGCCCCAGCGGGGUCCCAGUGAGUCUGGACCCCCGCGGACCCCUGCCUUGGGGUCCGGGAGGCGGUGUAGAGCCAGGGGUUUGUGUAUUCACACACAACCGCUCAAGUUCAAAACACACACACACACACACACACACACACACACACACCACCUGCCUACAAAGCCACUUCCUGCCGGCGUGGUUGGGUACGCCGGGUCCGCUGGUGUGAGGCUGCGUUCAGGAGACAGUCCAACUGGACGGGGCUGCCAGGGACCGACCGCCAGGCCUCCGUUGUUCUGUGUUCUGGGUCUGGGGAGAAGUGCCCCCCCUUGUGGAAAAAGUUUUGUUUUCUAUGAAUAAAUAUGUAAAUAAAUGAAUAAGAAAAGAAAA